rnacentral:tRNA from 2 species
GGCCCCGUAGCUCAGCCGGAUAGAGCAACGGUUUCCUAAACCGUAGGUCGCAGGUUCGAAUCCUGCCGGGGUCGCCA